UACGGAGGGGGCUAGCGUUGUUCGGAAUUACUGGGCGUAAAGCGCGCGUAGGCGGCUUUGUAAGUUAGAGGUGAAAGCCCGGAGCUCAACUCCGGAACUGCCUUUAAGACUGCAUCGCUAGAAUUGUGGAGAGGUGAGUGGAAUUCCGAGUGUAGAGGUGAAAUUCGUAGAUAUUCGGAAGAACACCAGUGGCGAAGGCGACUUACUGGACACAUAUUGACGCUGAGGUGCGAAAGCGUGGGGAGCGAACAGG
rnacentral:rRNA from 1 species